rnacentral:rRNA from 1 species
UCGAGUCGGCCUGCGCGGAAGAUGUAACGGGGCUAAACCAUGCACCGAAGCUGCGGCAGCGACACUAUGUGUUGUUGGGUAGGGGAGCGUUCUGUAAGCCGUUGAAGGUGGCCUGUGAGGGUUGCUGGAGGUAUCAGAAGUGCGAAUGCUGACAUAAGUAACGAUAAAGCGGGUGAAAAGCCCGCUCGCCGGAAGACCAAGGGUUCCUGUCCAACGUUAAUCGGGGCAGGGUGAGUCGACCCCUAAGGCGAGGCCGAAAGGCGUAGUCGAUGGGAAACAGGUUAAUAUUCCUGUACUUGGUGUUACUGCGAAGGGGGGACGGAGAAGGCUAUGUUAGCCGGGCGACGGUUGUCCCGGUUUAAGCAUGUAGGCGGAGGUUCCAGGUAAAUCCGGUACCUUUUUAACGCUGAGGUGUGAUGACGAGGCACUACGGUGCUGAAGUAACAAAUGCCCUGCUUCCAGGAAAAGCCUCUAAGCAUCAGGUAACAUCAAAUCGUACCCCAAACCGACACAGGUGGUCAGGUAGAGAAUACCAAGGCGCUUGAGAGAACUCGGG